AAGUUUAUUGGACCGGAGAUCUACUGCUCCCCCAAAACGCCAAUAUCAACUCAUCUUCUACAUUUCUUUACCUGUGCUCAUCAUCGCUGCUGCUGUUUUAAUCAAGCGGGAUAAAAUAAGAGAGCUAUGCCACAGAGGUGAAACUGAAAGUGAGAGAUCUACGUCAGAAGAAAGCAGCAAUGACGAUUUGUCCCCCAGUGAGAGCAACAGUAUCUAACAACCUUGGCUUGAAGAGAGAACGACACCAAAUAAAUAAUCAGAAAUUGGCUUAUACCAAGAAGGAAAAAAAAACAUAAUUUAUUCCUCACCUGUGUUUUCACUAUUGAAGGUUUAAAUUAUGAUAUAAUAAACCAUCGGCACCUGAAUCACCUGAAUC